rnacentral:lncRNA from 1 species
UCAGAACACUCACUUAUAUUCAUCGGCUUCCCUGCGUAGAGUGUGUGUGAGAUGGUGCUGACUGCUGAAAUAAACUACUCAAGAGCUAUCAGAGGAUGAGAAUGUAAGGCUAAAACAUAAUAAAAAUUCAACUCAAUUUCCAUAUGCAGGAGACUUACGGUGUUAAAACAAUACCAAUCUUGUGAACUUUUCCCAAGUCUCUACAAACCAACCUCAAAUUAUUCUAUAGCCUAAAACUUUCAACAAAAAUGCAAUUUUUUUAGAAAGAAAACAAAAACAAAACAAAACAAAGAACAAAAACAAAGAAAAUAAAGUAUUCCUUCCCCCACACUUAAAAUAUGCAUUGUCCUCAAUGAAAGAAACAAACAUAAAAUAAGAGAGAGAAGAGAGAGGAAAGAACACACCCGAGUAGUCAAGGAGGAUAGGUGAUCACAUAAGCAGCCUUUCCCAAAGAGAUAUAUUCUACAUUUUUUUCUUCCAAAGUGGGACUGUCAUGGAAUAGCUUUGGGUAAUGUCCAUUGAACUUGAAAUUUUUAUUAGUAUCUUCGCCUUUUAUUCCAGGAUCAAAGAAUCUUCUAAAAGUAAAAAUGUCAAAUGGACACGUGAAGGUGAUCUGAUC